UCCAGGCCGUGAAGGCCUGCGCUCCAGCCUUGCCACGCAGCACACCUCCCAGACAGGAGGGCAGCGGGAGGGCCCAGGCCACUCUGCCCACAAGUGACUGGCACAGACUUGACCUUGGGCCUCCUGGCGCAGGUCUGGGCGGCCGUCCCUUCUCAGUGGCCCCUUGCCACCUCACUUUGAUUCAGGUGGGUGACAGCACAAGGAUGCCCUGGGACAGUCCCAGGGAGCCUGAUUCUUUCUGCAAGAAGCUACACCACGGCCCUGUGCGUCCUCUGCUGACCGCCUCCCAGCAGGUUGGGUGACGAACAAAGGGGAGGCGAAUCUCAGCUGAGCUGAAAUCACAACACAGCAGGAUCGGCCCCCCAGGUUGAGGAGAAAGCCGCCUUUCUGAGUGGAGAAGAGAACUGAUCGUGUCCAUGGCCUUGACCGGGGCCUCAGCCCACAGCUGGGCCUGGACCGCUGCUCCUGGCCGCCCCUCUCAUGGGUCUCUGGGGAUUUCUCUGCUCUAAGCUGACCCCUUCCUUGCUGUCGGGGCUUCUGUCUCCACUCAAGAGCUCUGCGCGGCUCCUUGCCUGCUUCUGUGGGUGUGCGUAUGCGUGUGCACGUGCGUGUGUGGACUGUGAGACAAGGAGAUCCCAAGCACACUCUGCCCACGCACAGAGCCCCUUGGAGUCAGCCUGGGCCGGGGCUGGGCCGUCCUUCCCGGCGCCUCUGCAACCCUCCUGGCUGACGCUGCCUGCAUAUUCCCGGCGAAUGGUGCUCCUGAGACCUCCACGGGCCCAGGCUGCGUCAUUCCCACCCUCCCUGAGCCCUGGGACUGGCUGGGCACGGCUCCAGCCCUGGGAACUCCGCCUGAUGCUUUUCCCUUCUUCGAAACUUCCCUCUAUGAUUCAAUGAAAUGUCCUCUGCUUCUCAUUGCCUGGCUGGGCCGGGCUGACUUGGCAGCAUGAGGCAGAGCACACUGGACCUGUCUGGCCUGUGUUCUGCCCUGGAUGUGCUGUGUGACCUCAGGAGAGUCCCUUCACUCUCUGGGCCUCAGCUUUCUCAUCUGUGAGUGGAACAGGAGGAUGGAGGAGAGGUGUGUCUCCCAGUGGAAGAUGAGAGAGUGGGACCUUCCCGGGGUCCUCACGCUUGCCUCUCAGCUCAUUGGUGGGCUCUGCCCAUUCCUUCUUUGCGGAGUUCAUUGGAACCUAAGCCAGAACUUUCCAUUCUGCCCUUCUGGCCAAACCUGUGUACGGAUCACUGGUCCUGGGCUCAGCUCUGGUGACCUAGCAUUGGAACUCACCCACAGUCCCAAUAAGAUCCCCCUCCAAGA